rnacentral:rRNA from 1 species
UACGUAGGGUCCGAGCGUUGUCCGGAAUUACUGGGCGUAAAGAGCUCGUAGGUGGUUUGUCGCGUUGUCCGUGAAAACUCACAGCUCAACUGUGGGCGUGCGGGCGAUACGGGCAGACUGGAGUACUGCAGGGGAGACUGGAAUUCCUGGUGUAGCGGUGGAAUGCGCAGAUAUCAGGAGGAACACCGGUGGCGAAGGCGGUUCUCUGGGCAUGUCCUGACGCUGAGGAGCGAAAGUGUGGGGAGCGAACAGG